rnacentral:rRNA from 1 species
GACAGAGGGUGCAAACGUUGCUCGGAAUUAUUGGGCGUAAAGGGUGCGUAGGCGGCGCGGUAAGUCGGAUGUGAAAUCUCGGAGCUUAACUCCGAAACUGCAUUCGAUACUGCCGUGCUUGAGGACUGGAGAGGAGACUGGAAUUUACGGUGUAGCGGUGAAAUGCGUAGAUAUCGUAAGGAAGACCAGUGGCGAAGGCGGGUCUCUGGACAGUUCCUGACGCUGAGGCACGAAGGCCAGGGGAGCAAACGGG